rnacentral:rRNA from 1 species
AUUGAACGCUGGCGGCACGCCUUACACAUGCAAGUCGAACGGCAGCACGGGGCAACCUGGUGGCGAGUGGCGAACGGGUGAGUAAUGCAUCGGAACGUACCUUUCAGUGGGGGAUAACGUAGCGAAAGUUACGCUAAUACCGCAUAUUCUGUGAGCAGGAAAGCAGGGGAUCGCAAGACCUUGCGCUGAUUGAGCGGCCGACGUCAGAUUAGCUAGUUGGUGAGGUAAAGGCUCACCAAGGCGACGAUCUGUAGCGGGUCUGAGAGGAUGAUCCGCCACACUGGAACUGAGACACGGUCCAGACGGCUACGGGAGGCAGCAGUGGGGAAUUUUGGACAAUGGGGGCAACCCUGAUCCAGCCAUGCCGCGUGAGUGAAGAAGGCCUUCGGGUUGUAAAGCUCUUUCGGCCGGGAAGAAAUCGCACGGGCUAAUACCCUGUGUGGAUGACGGUACCGGAAUAAGAAGCACCGGCUAACUACGUGCCAGCCGCCGCAGUAAGAC